GGAGCGUUCUGUAAGCCUGCGAAGGUGUGCUGUGAGGCAUGCUGGAGGUAUCAGAAGUGCGAAUGCUGACAUAAGUAACGAUAAAGCGGGUGAAAAGCCCGCUCGCCGGAAGACCAAGGGUUCCUGUCCAACGUUAAUCGGGGCAGGGUGAGUCGACCCCUAAGGCGAGGCCGAAAGGCGUAGUCGAUGGGAAACAGGUUAAUAUUCCUGUACUUGGUGUUACUGCGAAGGGGGGACGGAGAAGGCUAUGUUGGCCGGGCGACGGUUGUCCCGGUUUAAGCGUGUAGGCUGGUUUUCCAGGCAAAUCCGGAAAAUCAAGGCUGAGGCGUGAUGACGAGGCACUACGGUGCUGAAGCAACAAAUGCCCUGCUUCCAGGAAAAGCCUCUAAGCAUCAGGUAACAUCAAAUCGUACCCCAAACCGACACAGGUGGUCAGGUAGAGAAUACCAAGGCGCUUGAGAGAACUCGGGUGAAGGAACUAGGCAAAAUGGUGCCGUAACUUCGGGAGAAGGCACGCUGAUAUGUAGGUGAAGUCCCUUGCGGAUGGAGCUGAAAUCAG
rnacentral:rRNA from 1 species